CCUACGGGUGGCAGCAGUGAGGAAUAUUGGUCAAUGGACGAGAGUCUGAACCAGCCAAGUAGCGUGAAGGAUGACUGCCCUAUGGGUUGUAAACUUCUUUUAUGUGGGAAUAAAACGUUCCACGUGUGGGAUUUUGUAUGUACCAUAUGAAUAAGGAUCGGCUAACUCCGUGCCAGCAGCCGCGGUAAUACGGAGGAUCCGAGCGUUAUCCGGCUUUAUUGGGUUUAAAGGGAGCGUAGGUGGAUUGUUAAGUCAGUUGUGAAAGUUUGCGGCUCAACCGUAAAAUUGCAGUUGAAACUGGCAGUCUUGAGUACAGUAGAGGUGGGCGGAAUUCGUGGUGUAGCGGUGAAAUGCUUAGAUAUCACGAAGAACUCCGAUUGCGAAGGCAGUUCACUGGACUGCAUCUGACACUGAGGCUCGAAAGUGUGGGUAUCAAACAGGAUUAGAUACCCUAGUAGUC
rnacentral:rRNA from 1 species